AGCUGCAGCAUGGUGUAAAGAGACCAACACCAGCAUUCUCCCUGUUUUGUGUUCAGGUUUCCCAUCUGAACCUCAACCGUUCCCUUUUGUAACUGAUCAGUGUGUUGCCGGCAGACUUUCUGAGCUGAAGCCAAUAUCCUGUUCUUCAGGGACAGCUCCUGCUAGAUAGACCAUAUUCAUGAUGAUUUCCAAAUGAGAUGCCUUGGUGCCACCUUUGACUUCCACUUCACGGUAGCCAUCAGGAGCAACAGUGUCAGGAAGGCACACAAGACAGCUGGGUGCUCUGUGGAGAGAGGAACUGAUGCCAUUGAAAUCCUAACCAGAGGACUUGUCAUCUACUCUGGCAGCAAAGAGGGAUGCUAACUCUCUUGCUGUGGUGUGUGAGCUUCCUUAGCCAUCGGUCCUUUCAUGUAACUCGUAUCUAUCUGAAGGGACAUAGAUGACAACCGGGCCUUUCGGGUUUCACACAUACGCUUCACCAGACAGGUAGCUGACCCCGUCAUGGGAACACAAACUUUCCAGCCCGAAAUACCUAGGUAGCCACCUGCAAUUACCUGGCUUGUGAAAUAAACAGUACCCACCUGAGGGAGAAUAAUUGGGAAAUGGAUCCAGAAUUUGGACCAAACAUUAUAAAAAUAAUUUGGGAAAUAACGAAAGAGGUUAAGCACAUGAUGAAAAAGCAAGAAAUCAUUGAAAAGAACCAAGUGGAAAUUUUUAGGUGUGAACAGUACAAUAGUUGAAGUAAAGGACACAAGAGAUGGAUUGCCAGCAGGAUGGAAAUAGCUGGAGAACAGCUAAUUACAUGGAGAAUCAAGUUGAGGAAUUCUUCCAAAAAGUAGCAGGAAAUGAUGAACAGGAAAAAGAACUAUUCUUAAAUGUUUUCAAAUAGGGAAGACAGAUGUAGAAGUGCCAAUAUUCAGAAAAUAAGAACUGUAGGAGAGAGAAAAAUGGAUAAAAUAAAAUAUUUAAAGAAAUAGUGAAGAUUCAACUUGCUAAAGUUGAAAAUAAGAGUCCUUGGCUUGAAAAGCUUACAGAACACCAAACAAAAGAAAUAAGGAGAAAUCCACAUCCAUGUUCCAGCAGCACACAGGCACAUCCAAGAAAACUUUAUGUUUUUGGAGAUGAAGCAGAUUGCCACCAAAAAGGAAUCAGAGCAAUAUCAAGAAGAUACUGCAAAGAAUAGAUAAAACAAGAAAGACUAGCUAUAAAUAUUGUCAUACUUAAGAACUAAAGGUUAAUAUACUUAAGAAGUAAAGGUUAAAAGAUCUUAAAUUAAUGACAACCAACAUAAGACCAAAAAUAUAAACUUUAAACCAACAAAAGGAAAUUCUAUCAAAAGACAGCAGCAGAGAAAAAAGAAACAACUAGAGAUCCUUAUAAGUAUAAACUGUGAGAUAUGUUCUGAAACAACAAAAACUACAAUAAAUGCAAAUGAAUUAAACUUACUAAUAGGAAGACAUAGAUACCUCAGAUUAUGCUUUUAAAAUAAUCAGUAUUAUACCUUUUAAAAUAAGAAAUAAUAAAAAAGACAAAGAACUUUGGAAAAAUCGAACACCAUAUUAAAUGCAGACAUCAAAAAGACCGGAAAUCCUGACGUGCAACAUAAUAUUUAACAUAAAAAUACCAUAAUGACCACAGCAGGAGCUUGAAUAGUAAGAAAAGGAACAAUAUGACAAAAACCGUAACCAACAGAAACCUAUAUUCAUCUAAAAAUGUGUUCUAAAAAUAUAUCAAGUAACAAUAGUCAGAGCCAGAGAGAUGUUGAUAAUUCAUUAUUUGUAGUUGGCUCUUUUAUAUUCCCCUCAGAACUGGACAGAUGUUCUGAAAUUUCCCAGUAAUGUACUUUAGUGUGGACCUGUUUUUAUCCAUCUUACUGAGUACUUGUGGGUCUUUUCAAUUUGGAAAGUCACGUUCCACUUUGGGGAAAUUUUUAGUAUUGUUUUGUCACAGAUAAACUCCCCUGUGUUUUUCUGUUAUUGGUGGAACUCUUUAUUUGGGGAUAACCGUCUUUAGAAUGUUUUCUCAUUUUCCUCUUUUCUUGCCUGUAUUCUAGAUCUUUGUCUUUUUUAAUCUACUUUCUGGGAGAUAUCCUCAUCUAUAUCUUUCAAGCCUGCUGCUGACUUUUUAAAAAUUCUCCUACCAUAUUUUUAACUUUAAGAGGUCUGUUUUGGUCUCAGAAUAUUGCUUUUCUUAAAAUAGAAUCCUAUUCCUAUUUCACAUUUGUGGUACUUCAUCCCUUUGAGGAAACUAAUACUUUUUAAAAAGAUAUUUUCUUCUCCCUGAAUCAUAUCUGUUUCUCUAAACACUCCUGUAUUGAUUCUAAUUGCAGCUGUAAAACUUUAACACAAGUAUAUUAUUUUAGAGUCCUGUAGGUUAGAAAUUUAGCAUGGUUUCACCGAGCUGAAAUCGUGGUGUUGGAAGGACCAUUUCCCUCCGGAGGCUCUGGGGAAAAUAUUUUGUUGCCUUCUUCCAGCUUUUAGAGACCACCCACAUUCUUUGCUUUCUAGCCCCUUUCCCACAUAUUUAAAGCCGAUAAUGUCACAUCUCUAUGACUCUUCUUUGGUUGUCACAUCUCCUCCUGACCAUGACAAAAGAAAAUUCUUGGCAUGAAAGGAUCCACAUGAUUAGAUUGGGAUCAUUGGGAAAUCCAGGAUAAUCUCCUCAUCUCAGAGUCAGGCCAUUAGCAACUCUAAUUGCAUUUGCAAAUUUAAACCUGCAGAAGUGUCAUAUAACCUAACAUAGUGACUUGUUCUGAAAAUUAGGGCGUGGAUACUUUGAGGAGCUAUCUGCCUACCAUACUCCGCUUUUUGGUUUUGUUCUCCAAUUUGCAUGUUAAAGGCUUUCCUCAGAUGUCUGAUGAUCUUUAGUCAUUUGUACAUAUGUAAGAAUGGGGGGCUCAAAAGGUUAUUGGAAGCUGGUGCUGUGAAUGACCUUUUCCAUGGGCAGCCUCAUGUGAGUGUCUCAGCUCUUUGCUGUUGGGCUGGGAGGCUCCCCGGAGCAGACUUGUGCAGUCUCCCGCCUGGAGGAAGAAGGCCUAGUCACCAGAGCUGUGUAAACUAAGAAGAGAUUUGGGAGUUUCACCAUCCAGGAUGUAUAUGUUUGUUUAAUUCCUUUGUGUCCCCCAACUAUGCCUGGUAUCCCUCAGGCAGGGACUAGAUAUUCUGUCUUCUGCCUGGGUAUGAAACUUUGGGGUGCAGUGCUAUCUCUUAAACUGUCUCUUAAACAGAUAUUCAAUCAGUCUUUGAAUGUUUAAUCAGAUCUUUACCACUAUUUCCAGAGAUGUUGGAUGACUAUUGCUGAGUUAUAUGGGGACUCUUUCUGUAAACUGGAUUGGUUCUUGGAUUCAUCCUUUGCUGCCUUACAACUCAGCUUUAUUAGUUCUUGUUUAAGGGUCAUUUAUCUAUCUGCUUUCCAGCUACCAAAUUUUGUUGCUGUUUUUUUCCUGUUGGUCUUUGUUAACAGAUGCCCUAUUUGUUGUUAUUAACCUCUUUCCUGUUGUUUUAAUGAGGUUUCUAAAGGCAGCAGAGCUGAAGGCUUAGGUUCAAGUCAUGAUUCUUAACUGGAAGUUGGUAUGUUUUUCCUGUAGUUGUUGAGUCCACUGUGCAGCAGGGAGCAGGGGAAGUAUCUUGUCCCACGGUGGGUGCCUACAAUUUUUCCCCUUUUGUAGGAGGUGGAUCAACUGUAUCAAAGAGAUGUCAAAACCUUGGGCAUAACCUAAAAGGGUACCUGUCUCCUUUCAUGGCUCCACGCUUCACUCUCUGAUUCUUGGGAGCCAUGAUAUGAGCAGCUAUUUCUCCACCAUACCAUCCUGCCUCAGAUGUCAACUAAUUAUGGAGAGAAACAUGAGCCCAAAUAAACCUCUCCUUCUUUUCACUCUCCCAGUGAUGAGAAAGGUAAGCCAGA